AAAUAAAGGCAGCGAAAGGUAAUGUGCUUUUAAAAGAAAUUUGAAAAUGGGAAGGGAUUUAGCACGUCUAAUCAUUCCACAACCGAACAGCACGAAAAGUAAAAGAGUUUAUAUAAAAUUUCGAUGAAGAAGAUGGUGGAGCAAGGAGAAGUUUCUCCGCACACCGGACAGAAGAAAGAUAGCUGAAACGCUGUUUAAGAUAUAGAGGGGUAGUGGGGUUGAAGAGAAUAUUAUAAAGAAGAACAAGAAUAUGAGAGUUGCGGCGAUGGCGAAUAGGGAGCCACUUGAGCUGGGUGCGAAAUUCAGAGACGUGGUCAUAUUUGCGUAAGCCAAAUAUGAACCUUAUACAU